rnacentral:rRNA from 1 species
ACUAAGUUUCAACAACGGAUCUCUUGGCUCUCGCAUCGAUGAAGAACGCAGCGAAAUGCGAUAAGUAAUGUGAAUUGCAGAAUUCAGUGAAUCAUCGAAUCUUUGAACGCACCUUGCGCUCCUUGGUAUUCCUUGGAGCAUGCCUGUUUGAGUAUCAUGAAA